rnacentral:rRNA from 1 species
GACGAACGCUGGCGGCGUGCCUAAUACAUGCAAGUCGAGCGAGCGGAACCAACAGAUUUACUUCGGUAAUGACGUUGGGAAAGCGAGCGGCGGAUGGGUGAGUAACACGUGGGGAACCUGCCCCUAAGUCUGGGAUACCAUUUGGAAACAGGUGCUAAUACCGGAAAAUAAAGCAGAUCGCAUGAUCAGCUUUUGAAAGGCGGCGUAAGCUGUCGCUAAGGGAUGGCCCCGCGGUGCAUUAGCUAGUUGGUAAGGUAACGGCUUACCAAGGCGACGAUGCAUAGCCGAGUUGAGAGACUGAUCGGCCACAUUGGGACUGAGACACGGCCCAAACUCCUACGGGAGGCAGCAGUAGGGAAUCUUCCACAAUGGACGCAAGUCUGAUGGAGCAACGCCGCGUGAGUGAAGAAGGUUUUCGGAUCGUAAAGCUCUGUUGUUGGUGAAGAAGGAUAGGGGUAGUAACUGGCCUUUAUUUGACGGUAAUCAACCAGAAAGUCACGGCUAACUACGUGCCAGCAGCCGCGGUAAUACGUAGGUGGCAAGCGUUGUCCGGAUUUAUUGGGCGUAAAGCGAGCGCAGGCGGAAAAAUAAGUCUAAUGUGAAAGCCCUCGGCUUAACCGA